rnacentral:rRNA from 1 species
GGCUCAGGACGAACGCUGGCGGCGUGCUUAACACAUGCUAGUCGAGCGGGGAUUGAGAUUGGAAAGCUUCGGCCGGAAGAUUUCAAUUCUAGCGGCGGACGGGUGAGUAUCGCGUGAGCAAUCUGUCCCAUACAGGGGGAUAACACUUGGAAACAGGUGCUAAUACCGCAUAAGACCACGAGGUCGCAUGGCCACGGGGUAAAAGAUUUAUCGGUAUGGGGUGAGCUCGCGUCCCAUUAGCUAGUUGGUGAGGUAACGGCCCACCAAGGCGACGAUGGGUAGCCGACCUGAGAGGGUGAUCGGCCACAUUGGAACUGAGACACGGUCCAGACUCCUACGGGAGGCAGCAGUGGGGAAUAUUGGGCAAUGGGCGCAAGCCUGACCCAGCAACGCCGCGUGAAGGAAGAAGGUUUUCGGAUUGUAAACUUCUGUCCUUGGUGACGAACACAAUGACGGUAGCCAAGGAGGAAGCCCCGGCUAACUACGUGCCAGCAGCCGCGGUAAUACGUAGGGGGCAAGCGUUGUCCGGAAUGACUGGGCGUAAAGGGCGUGUAGGCGGCUUUUUAAGUGUGAAGGGAAAGUCCUGCUUUCCAGGGUGGGAACUUGCUUUGCAAACUGGAGGAGCUUGAGUGCGGAAGAGGUAAGUGGAAUUCCAGUGGUAGCGGUGAAAUGCGUAGAGAUUGGGAGGAACACCAGUGGCGAAGGCGACUUACUGGGCCGUAACUGACGCUGAGGCGCGAAAGCGUGGGGAGCGAACAGGAUUAGAUACCCUGGUAGUCCACGCUGUAAACGAUGAAUGCUAGGUGUAGCGGGUAUCGACCCCUGCUGUGCCGCAGUAAACACAAUAAGCAUUCCGCCUGGGGAGUACGGCCGCAAGGUUGAAACUCAAAGGAAUUGACGGGGGCCCGCACAAGCAGCGGAGCAUGUUGUUUAAUUCGAAGCAACGCGAAGAACCUUACCAGGUCAUGACAUCGAGGUAAAGCCGUAGAGAUAUGAGGUCCCUUCGGGGGUCCGAAGACAGGUGGUGCAUGGUUGUCGUCAGCUCGUGUCGUGAGAUGUUGGGUUAAGUCCCGCAACGAGCGCAACCCUUAUCUUCAGUUACUAACGCGUGGUGGUGAGGACUCUGGAGAGACUGCCGGGGAUAACUCGGAGGAAGGUGGGGACGACGUCAAAUCAUCAUGCCCCUUAUGACCUGGGCUACACACGUGCUACAAUGGUGUUGAACAAAGAGGAGCGAGCCAGUGAAAUAAGCGGAUCUCAAAAAAGACAUCUCAGUUCGGACUGUGGGCUGCAACCCGCCCACACGAAGUUGGAGUUAGGAGUAAUCGCGAAUCAGAAUGUCGCGGUGAAU